rnacentral:lncRNA from 1 species
CAUUUCCAUGAUGUGUCUUCUAGGUUUAUUACCAUGUGCUGGGACUGGGCGAGCCUCUGUCUCUGAAGUCUCCUCGGGCUCUAAGACUCUUUUCUCACCUUCGACACCCAGUGUGUGUGGAACUGUUGACUGUGCUGUGGGUGGUUCCCACUUUGGGCACGGACCGCCUCCUGCUGGCUCUUCUCUUUACUCUCUACCUGGGCUUGGCUCACGGGGAAGAGAGUCAAGAGAAGAGAGGCUAAGUCCCAGGGAGGCCAGAGAUAGGAAGCUGGUGAUAGGAGGAACCCAAGAGUCAAGUUCGAGGUCUUUGGAGACUGGAGACUGGAGGCAGAGCCCAGCAGAGGCCAGAGACCUGGAUUCCAGACCAGCUGAGGCUCAGAAAUGGAGGCUGAGCCCUGGAGAAACUCCAGAGGAGAAUCUGAGAUUAGCAGGUUCUGGAGAUCACAGUCCCAAGAGAAAAGAGGUAUUGGAAAGCAGACUGAGCCCUGGGGAGUCUGGCGACCAGAAGACCAGUCUGACAGAGGCCCAUAAAUGGAAUCUUG